UACGGGGGGGGCAAGCGUUGUUCGGAAUUACUGGGCGUAAAGGGCUCGUAGGCGGCCAACUAAGUCAGACGUGAAAUCCCUCGGCUUAACCGGGGAACUGCGUCUGAUACUGGAUGGCUUGAGUUUGGGAGAGGGACGCGGAAUUCCAGGUGUAGCGGUGAAAUGCGUAGAUAUCUGGAGGAACACCGGUGGCGAAGGCGGCAUCCUGGACCAACACUGACGCUGAUGAGCGAAAGCCAGGGGAGCAAACGGG
rnacentral:rRNA from 1 species